ACUUAACUGAAGCUUCUGGGACGGUUACCGGCGUCCAGCGGCGGACGGGUGAGUAAUGCCUACGAGAUUGCCCUGAUGUGGGGGAUAACCAUUGGAAACGAUGGCUAAUACCGCAUGAUGCCUACGGGCCAAAGAGGGGGACCUUCGGGCCUCUCGCGUCAGGAUAUGCCUAGGUGGGAUUAGCUAGUUGGUGAGGUAAUGGCUCACCAAGGCGACGAUCCCUACCUGGUCUGAGAGGAUGAUCAGCCGCACUGGAACUGAGACACGGUCCACACUCCUACGGGAGGCAGCAGUGGGGAAUAUUGCACAAUGGGCGCAAGCCUGAUGCAGCCAUGCCGCGUGUGUGAAGAAGGCCUUCGGGUUGUAAAGCACUUUCAGUCGUGAGGAAGGUGGUGUAGUUAAUAGCUGCAUUAUUUGACGUUAGCGACAGAAGAAGCACCGGCUAACUCCGUGCCAGCAGCCGCGGUAAUACAGAGGGUGCGAGCGUUAAUCGGAAUUACUGGGCGUAAAGCGCAUGCAGGUGGUUUGUUAAAUCAGAUGUGAAAGCCCGGGGCUCAACCUCGGAAUAGCAUUUGAAACUGGCAGACUAGAGUACUGUAGAGGGGGGUAGAAUUUCAGGUGUAGCGGUGAAAUGCGUAGAGAUCUGAAGGAAUACCGGUGGCGAAGGCGGCCCCCUGGACAGAUACUGACACUCACAUGCGAAAGCGUGGGGAGCAAACACGAUUAGAUACCCUGGUAGUCCACGCCGUAAACGAUGUCUACUUGGAGGUUGUGGCCUUGAGCCGUGGCUUUCUGAGCUAACGCGUUAAGUAGACCGCCUGGGGAGUACGGUCGCAAGAUUAAAACUCACAUGAAUUGACGGGGGCCCGCACAAACGGUGGUAGCAUGUGGUUUA
rnacentral:rRNA from 1 species